GGGCGCGUAGCUCAGUGGAUAGAGCAACGGAUUUCUAAUCCGUUGGUCGCAGGUUCGAAUCCUGCCGCGCUCG
rnacentral:tRNA from 2 species